rnacentral:rRNA from 1 species
UCUGCAACCCGACUCCACGAAGUUGGAUUCGCUAGUAAUCGCGCAUCAGCCAUGGCGCGGUGAAUACGUUCCCGGGCCUUGUACACACCGCCCGUCAAGCCAUGGGAGCCGGGGGCGCCUGAAGUCCGGGACCGCGAGGACCGGCCUAGGGCGAAACUGGUAACUGGGGCUAAGUCGUAACAAGGUAUC